rnacentral:rRNA from 1 species
CAGUCGCCGCGGGAAUACGAAGGGGGCUAGCGUUGUUCGGAAUUACUGGGCGUAAAGCGCACGUAGGCGGAUAUUUAAGUCAGGGGUGAAAUCCCAGAGCUCAACUCUGGAACUGCCUUUGAUACUGGGUAUCUUGAGUAUGAAAGAGGUGAGUGGAAUUCCGAGUGUAGAGGUGAAAUUCGUAGAUAUUCGGAGGAACACCAGUGGCGAAGGCGGCUCACUGGUCCAUUACUGACGCUGAGGUGCGAAAGCGUGGGGAGCAAACAGGAUUAGAUACCCCGGUAGUCCCUGUCUCUUAUAC